CAAUACAUAAGUAACUCGCCCUAGACGAGGGGAGUAACUAUUGGAAACGAUAGCUAAGACCGCAUAGGUACGGACACUGCAUGGUGACCGUAUUAAAAGUGCCUCAAAGCACUGGUAGAGGAUGGACUUAUGGCGCAUUAGCUGGUUGGCGGGGUAACGGCCCACCAAGGCGACGAUGCGUAGCCGACCUGAGAGGGUGACCGGCCACACUGGGACUGAGACACGGCCCAG
rnacentral:rRNA from 1 species